GACGAACGCUGGCGGCGUGCCUAAUACAUGCAAGUCGAGCGCAAGAAGCUGGCGGAACUCUUCGGAGGGAAGGCAGUGGAAUGAGCGGCGGACGGGUGAGUAACACGUAAGGAACCUGCCUCAAGGAUUGGGAUAACUCCGAGAAAUCGGAGCUAAUACCGGGUAGUUCAUUGGGCCGCAUGGUCCGGUGAUGAAAGGCGCUUCGGCGUCACCUUGAGAUGGCCUUGCGGUGCAUUAGCUAGUUGGUGGGGUAACGGCCCACCAAGGCGACGAUGCAUAGGCGACCUGAGAGGGUGAUCGGCCACACUGGGACUGAGACACGGCCCAGACUCCUACGGGAGGCAGCAGUAGGGAAUCUUCCACAAUGGACGAAAGUCUGAUGGAGCAACGCCGCGUGAGUGAUAAAGGUUUUCGGAUCGUAAAACUCUGUUGUAGGGAAGAACACGUACGAGAGGUAAUGCUCGUACCUUGACGGUACCUUACGAGAAAGCCACGGCUAACUACGUGCCAGCCGCCGCCGUAA
rnacentral:rRNA from 1 species